GAGAGUAUAACUCAGUGGUAGAGCACGUGCCUAGCAUGCAUGAGGUCCUGGGUUUGAUCCCCAGCACCUCCA
rnacentral:tRNA from 1 species